AAUAGUCUCUUAAUUGGAGGCUUGAAUGAACGGUCGGACACGAGGGAAGCUGUCUGCGAUUGAGAAGUGUGAAUUUAACUUUUGUGUGAAAAGGCAUUAAUGCGUUAAUGGGACGAUAAGACCCUAUAAAACUUAACAUUUUAUGGAGCUUUGUGAUUUUAAGGGUAAUAUAGAGUUCAGUAAGUUUGUUGUACUGGGGCGGUAGGAAUAUAAUGUAGUAACUGUUCUAAUUAUUAAAUAACUGUAAUUAGAGUCUGACCCCUGAUUCGGGGUUAUAAGAGUAAGUUACUUUAGGGAUAACAGCGUUAUUUCUCUUGAGAGUUCAUAUCGACAGAGAUAUUUGCGACCUCGAUGUUGAAUUAAAGUUUUUCCCGGGAGUAGAAAUUCGGGUUGUAGGUCUGUUCGACCUUUGAAACUUUA
rnacentral:rRNA from 1 species